UUAAAGUCCAGAGGAUUACAAUCUUUCUACAUGUUUGCUAAUUCAGAAUUAUAUAAUUUUGACCAGAUUUGUUCCUUAAUUUAUGGACUCUCAGAAUCUUCUUAUUUUUCAAAUAAUGUUUCUUUUUCACUUUUUUUUUUUUUUUUAAAUUUAAAAUUCCCGGAGAGACUCAAGGAACACUCCAGGAGUAUUGAACAAAAAGAUAUUUGAGUCAAAGAUCUGGUAUCUCAAAUCUGUGCCUUUUUUUGCAUAGUCAUCUCAUUUUAUGCUUAAUUCUGCUGAAAAGCAGCACAUGUGGUGUGAAAUUAUACCGGACUGCUGACCUCCUUGCUUGCCACCUGGUCUGUGUUUUCCCCCAUUUAUCUCAAGCUUUCCCUUCUUCUUCAUAAAGUUCCCUGCUGCUCCCAACAAGGAAAGUGACAGCUCAUUCCUUAUACUGACAAGUUGUCUCCCUGCACUGUCUCUUUGUUAUCUCACUGUCUCUCUGUUCUUCUCUCACUGUCUUGCCUAUCUUUAAUAAACACAUUUUUGUCUGAGUGACAAGCAGAGUAAUUCAGCUCAUUAUAAUUAGCAGCACUGCCCUUCUUUUACUAGAAAACUUUAAAAAGUCAAUGUCUAAAUAUAGAAUUGAAAUGAGGAAGUAUGCUUUCCAGUUCUUGAUUCUCUCCAUCACUUUCUUGCUGUGGGGACAGCAGGGAACUGCUUGACCUCUGGAUUUCCUUUGGUUCAAUUAAGGUGAUAAUUCUUGCCUUGCCUUACAGAUGUAGUCUGCAGCAUGACAAGGAGGAUGAAGGGAAUGCCAGUUUGGAAAGGCUGACUUGGUGGGUGAGCAGCAGACAGUGGGGGAGACACAGUGUGACAGUAAUCCCUCUAUUUCUGGUUCAGAGGCUUCCGAAGAAACAGGACUUGAAAGCAGAGAAGAAAAACUGUCAGGAGCUUAGAGACAUCUUCGUGUCGUGCAUCAAAAAACAGCUUGAGGAGUCAGACACAUUCUGCUACUUGCUACCUGAGUGUUGUUGCAGAGGUUACUUCAAAACCUCAAUUCCUCAGUUGCCUCCUCUGAUAAAGGCACUGAUAAACUUUACUUUUCAGGGGAAACCUGAGGAUGAAGUUAUAUAUGGGAGAACACCUGGUAUACACUUAGGGCAUAUUACUUGUCUUUCUUUCCUCUUUAAAGUGGAAAGAUGCUCAGGAAAGACAAACUAGUAGCUGCCGUUGGGUCUGUAAGCAGAUCUUGAUUGCAAGAUAACCUUCUGGCUUCUGGAUGAUCUAGGGGAAGACAGGUUGAGAAAUUCUCACAGUGAAGUGGCAGAAAUGCCAGGAUUUGAUUAUGUUUCUAGAUGUUCUUAUGAAUCUAAGAUCCAAAGUGUGUUGAUUUAAAAAAAGCCUCCUACUCUUGUCUUGAUUUAAAAAAAAAAUAAAAACUUUGAAAUGAGCUGCAAUUAGCUCAGUGUAUUAGUCAGGGUUCUCUAGAGGGACAGAACUAAUGGAACAUAUAUAUAUAUAUAUAAAGGGGAGUUUAUUAGGUAUUAGCUCACAUAAUCACAAGGUCCCACAAUAGGCUGUCUGCAGGCUGAGGAUCAAGGAGAGCCAGUCUGAGAUCCAAAACUGAAGAACUUGGAGUCUGAUGUUGGGGGGUAGGAAGCAUCCAGCACCAGAGAAAGAUGUAGGCUGGGAGGCUAGUCCAGUCUCUCCUUUUUGCUUUUUUCUGCCUGCUUUAUAUUUUUGGGAGAUGAUUAGAUUGCGUCCACCAGAUUAAGGGUGGGUCUGCCUUCCCCAGCCCACUGACUCAAAUGUUGAUCUCCUUUGGCAACACCCUCACAGACACACCCAGGAACAGUACUUUGCAUCCUUCAAUCCAAUCAAAUUGAGUCUCAGUAUUAACCAUCACAAGUUUAACCCUUGUCAACUUGAACCCAUACACAUCUCCUGAGAUCAUACAUAAUCUUCAAAUAAAGACGAUUAUAAGGUCAUAAUUAUACCUAAUAUAUUACAAUUCUUCACGCAACCAGAAACGCACCAAUUGUCAAUGCAAAUACCAUUACAUGAAGUUAUCAAUACAUAAAUGCUGAUAUGAAGUCAACAAAUCUUAUGUCACAUCAUAAAGGAAAAGGAAAUAAAGUGAAGAUAUUUUCUUAGUACAAGUGUAUACAUGUGCAAAUAUGUUUUUAACAAAAGAAGGAGGAAAUACUCAUGACAGUUACAGUCCUUAUUUCUCAGCUGGUCACGUGGUUAUAGCUGGUAUUGAUUACUACUGUCUUCUACUAGCCAUUCAUUCUGCAUUCCCUUUGCUUUCAGUAAGCACCUCAGCAGGUGGUUUUUUGUUUUUGUUUUUGUUUUUGUUUUUUCUGGUGGUGUGACCCAAACCUUCAUUCCUGAGGGAUCUGGACCAUUUGUAGUCCUUCCUGGACUGGGUUGUUGUAGUUUCACAUUGACUUUAAUAACAGGGCAUGGUAAUACUGAGACACUCUAAUGGAUCUCCUGUAUUCCAUGCAUGAUCUUCCUUACCUCCAUUAUAGAGUAGUAGACUGAUUUCAUCUUGAUAGCCCAGGUCAAUCACACCGGCCAACACUGUAUGUAACUCCCUUCUUAGCCUGUUGACUUAAAGGUAGGAGGAGUCCAAAGCAUCCACGUGGCAAUCUUAACUUCCAGUUUAAUGGAAUUGUUGUUUUGUCUCCUGGUGGCAGUGUUCCUCCCUCUGGAACUCAGACCUCUAGACCAGCAGAAUGUAAUGUGGCAGGAACAGGAAGCAAAAAUUUUGCUAGCGGAUCACUAGCAAUGAUGGUGUGUAGUGCCACUUCCACUUCCACCCCUUGAUUCCUGGACCCAUGAAUCCUGGCUAUAGGAGAAACAGUACCAUAUAUUGAAUGCUGAUUCAGAGCAUACAUGCUUCUUCCAAGUCCCUUCUGGAGAACUUUGCCUCAGCCCUCCAAAGUAUUGUCACCUAGUUGGCAUUGUAACUGUGACUUCAAAAGGCCAUUCCACCAUUCUAUCAAUCCAGCUGCUUCAGGAUGAUGGGGAGCAUGAUAAGACCAGUGAAUUCCAUGAGCAUGAGCCCGCUGCCACAGUUCUUUAGCUGUAAAGUGAGUGCCUUGGUCAGAG
rnacentral:lncRNA from 1 species